UGGGGAAUUUUGGACAAUGGGGGAAACCCUGAUCCAGCCAUCCCGCGUGUGCGAUGAAGGCCUUCGGGUUGUAAAGCACUUUUGGCAGGAAAGAAACGUCAUGGGUUAAUACCCCGUGAAACUGACGGUACCUGCAGAAUAAGCACCGGCUAACUACGUGCCAGCAGCCGCGGUAAUACGUAGGGUGCAAGCGUUAAUCGGAAUUACUGGGCGUAAAGCGUGCGCAGGCGGUUCGGAAAGAAAGAUGUGAAAUCCCAGAGCUCAACUUUGGAACUGCAUUUUUAACUACCGAGCUAGAGUGUGUCAGAGGGAGGUGGAAUUCCGCGUGUAGCAGUGAAAUGCGUAGAUAUGCGGAGGAACACCGAUGGCGAAGGCAGCCUCCUGGGAUAACACUGACGCUAAUGCACGAAAGCGUGGGGAGCAAACAGG
rnacentral:rRNA from 1 species